ACGUAACCGGCUGCUGCAGCUCGGGGCCCCUCCAACUUAGGGCAUUUGCAACAGAAACUACUCCGGACGCGCGCCAAGGGAGGGGCUUGUGCCUGCAAAGCUGGACGCUCAGCCAGGGCCAUUCUGCAUGUGUGCAAUAAGUUUCAAGAGAAAUACAAAAGGAAGCUGCAUCUUCUUACCAAACGCAAACCCAUGCAGCAGAAACUACACAGAGCAAACCUGAGACUGAAUUGAAGUUAACUACUCUCUGAGAAGGACCAAUGUCACAGUUGUGAAGAGAGACAGCCUGGCACCUGAAGGAGAAAGAUGGAAGGAAUGGCCUCUUGCCCUGACUUUGCUAUGACCAGCUGUGUGACCUUCGGCAAGUCACUUAACUUCUCUGGGCCUUACCUCAUCUGAAAAAUGAGAAGCCUGAACUAAAUAAAUUCACCCACAUUAGAAUUCUGUGAUUCAGAUUUAAAAAGGCAUAUGUAAAUAUAAACAUAAUUAUGAAAGCAAA